rnacentral:rRNA from 1 species
GAUGAACGCUGGCGGCGUGCCUAAUACAUGCAAGUCGAGCGAACGGAUGAGAAGCUUGCUUCUCUGAUGUUAGCGGCGGACGGGUGAGUAACACGUGGAUAACCUACCUAUAAGACUGGGAUAACUUCGGGAAACCGGAGCUAAUACCGGAUAAUAUUUUGAACCGCACGGUUCAAAAGUGAAAGACGGUCUUGCUGUCACUUAUAGAUGGAUCCGCGCUGCAUUAGCUAGUUGGUAAGGUAACGGCUUACCAAGGCAACGAUGCAUAGCCGACCUGAGAGGGUGAUCGGCCACACUGGAACUGAGACACGGUCCAGACUCCUACGGGAGGCAGCAGUAGGGAAUCUUCCGCAAUGGGCGAAAGCCUGACGGAGCAACGCCGCGUGAGUGAUGAAGGUCUUCGGAUCGUAAAACUCUGUUAUUAGGGAAGAACAUAUGUGUAAGUAACUGUGCACAUCUUGACGGUACCUAAUCAGAAAGCCACGGCUAACUACGUG